rnacentral:tRNA from 1 species
UAGGUGGAAGCCAGUUGGUUUGGGCGUCUAGCUGUUAACUAGAAUUUUAUGGGAUCAAAGCCCAUCUACCUAG